UGAUGAGAUUUUAUAAAUAAAUAAAAUAAAUGCACCGGAUCCCAUCAAAACUCCGCGGUUAAGCGUGUUUGGGCAAGAGUAGUAUUAGGAUGGGUGACCUCCUGGGAAGUCCUCGUGUUGCACCUC
rnacentral:rRNA from 2 species